UGGGGACCGGGCUUGAUCGCUCGGAGCGGAGCGAGGAAGAGCUCAAAUUUAUAAUCUGGCACCUUCGGUGUCCGAGUUGUAAUCUCUAGAAAUGUUUUCCGCGUUGGACCGCACACAAGUCUGUUGGAAUACAGCGGCAUAGUGGUGAGACCCCCGUAUAUGGCGCGGACGCCCAGCGCUUUGCGAUACAUUUUCGAAGAGUCUAGUUGUUUGGGAAUGCAGCUCAAAUUGGGUGGUAAAUUCCAUCUAAAGCUAAAUAUUGGCGAGAGACCGAUAGCGAACAAGUACCGUGAGGGAAAGAUGAAAAGCACUUUGAAAAGAGAGUUAACAGUACGUGAAAUUGUUGGAAGGGAAAGCUUGAAGUCAGACUUGCUUGCCGAGCAAUCGGUUUGCAGGCCAGCAUCAGUUUUCCGGGAUGGAUAAUGGUAAAGAGAAGGUAACAGUUUCGGCUGUGUUAUAGCUCUCUACUGGAUACAUCCUGGGGGACUGAGGAACGCAGUGUGCCUUUGGCGGGGGUUUCGACCUCUUCACACUUACGAUGCUGGUGGAAUGGCUUUAAACGACCCGUCUUGAAACACGGACCAAA
rnacentral:rRNA from 1 species